AAACUAACAAGGAUUCCCCUAGUAGCGGCGAGCGAAGCGGGAAAAGCUCAAAUUUGUAAUCUGGCGUCUUCGACGUCCGAGUUGUAAUCUCGAGAAGUGUUUUCCGUGAUAGACCGCAUACAAGUCUCUUGGAACAGAGCGUCAUAGUGGUGAGAACCCAGUACACGAUGCGGAUGCCUAUUACUUUGUGAUACACUUUCGAAGAGUCGAGUUGUUUGGGAAUGCAGCUCAAAUUGGGUGGUAAAUUCCAUCUAAAGCUAAAUAUUGGCGAGAGACCGAUAGCGAACAAGUACCGUGAGGGAAAGAUGAAAAGCACUUUGGAAAGAGAGUUAACAGUACGUGAAAUUGUUGGAAGGGAAACACAUGCAGUGAUACUUGCUAUUCGGGGCAACUCGAUUGGCAGGCCCGCAUCAGUUUUCCGGGGCGGAAAAGCAUAGAGAGAAGGUAGCAGUUUCGGCUGUGUUAUAGCUCUUUAUUGGAUUCGCCCUGGGGGAUUGAGGAACGCAGCGUGCUUUUUGCAUGAGCUUCGGCUUAUCCACGCUUAGGAUGCGGGUUUAUGGCUG
rnacentral:rRNA from 1 species